rnacentral:rRNA from 1 species
GUCGGCCUACGGGGGGCAGCAGUAGGGAAUCUUCCACAAUGGACGAAAGUCUGAUGGAGCAACGCCGCGUGAGUGAAGAAGGGUUUCGGCUCGGAAAGCUCUGUUGGUAGUGAAGAAAGAUAGAGGUAGUAACUGGCCUUUAUUUGACGGUAAUUACUUAGAAAGUCACGGCUAACUACGUGCCAGCAGCCGCGGUAAUACGUAGGUGGCAAGCGUUGUCCGGAAUUACUGGGUGUAAAGGGUGCGUAGGCGGCACUCCAAGUCAGUUGUGAAACCCGUAGGCUCAACCUACGGCUUGCAAUUGA